AUUGAACGCUGGCGGCAGGCCUAACACAUGCAAGUCGAACGAGUGGCGGACGGGUGAGUAAUGUCUGGGAAACUGCCUGAUGGAGGGGGAUAACUACUGGAAACGGUAGCUAAUCCCGCAUACCAUCAGAUGUGCCCAGAUGGGAGUAGCUAGUAGGUGGGGUAACGGCUCACCUAGGCGACGAUCCCUAGCUGGUCUGAGAGGAUGACCAGCCACACGGGAACUGGGACACGGUCCAGACUCCGACGGGAGGCAGCAGUGGGGAACAUUGCACAAUGGGCGCAAGCGUGAUGCAGCCAUGGCGCGUGUAUGAAGAAGGCCUUCGGGUUGUAAAGUACGUUCAGCGGGGAGGCGUUACCCGCAGAAGAAGCACCGGCUAACUCCGUGCCAGCAGCCGCGGUAAUUC
rnacentral:rRNA from 1 species